GCCUGGGUGGCUUAGUGGGUUAAGCGUCUGACUUCUGCUCAGGUCAUGGUCUCGCAGUUCAUGGGUUCGAGCCUCACAUCAUGCU
rnacentral:tRNA from 1 species